rnacentral:ncRNA from 1 species
GUAGUCUGCCAUACGCAGGAAGACCCGCUGAACUGAAGCAUCUCAUUAAGCGGAGGAAAAGAAACUAACUAGGAUUCCCUUAGUAAAGGCGAUCGAAAAGGGAACAGCCCAACGUCUUAAUCCCGCAAGGGAAAUGUAGUCGGUUCACCUAUUGCACUGGUCUAAGUCAGAUGGAAUGCUGCGCGAUUCAGAGUAAAAGCCUCGUAUGACCAACCGCAAGCUUACGAUGGACCGGGGAGAGUCGGAUACUUUGAGAGUAGUGUCUUAAGGGGGUGGUAUGUCCCAUCCAAGGCUAAAUAACGUGAGGAGACCGAUAGAUUACAAGUAGUGUGAACGAAAGAUGAAAAGAACUCUAAAACAGAGGGUGAAAAGUUCCUGAACUUGCUUAGGGUUAAGGCUAUUUAUAGUACCCGUCUUGAAACACGGAUUAGGGAGUUUAUCUGUAGUGCGAGUCUUUGCACGUUAACUGUAAAGGCGUAGAGAAAGCAACUGGCGUUUGCAUGGCUACUGAGCAUUACUGAUAGGACCCGAAAGGUGGUGAACUUUGCCUGCACAGGUUGAAGUCAUGGGAAACUCUGAUGGAGGACCGUACGGGUUAUUGAUGUGCAAAUCAUUUUUUCUGAUGUAGGUAAAGGUGCG